rnacentral:rRNA from 1 species
GGGGAAAGGCCGGGGACCUUCGGGCCUGGCGCGAUUGGAUGAGCCCAUGUCGGAUUAGCUAGUUGGCGGGGUAAUGGCCCACCAAGGCGACGAUCCGUAGCUGGUCUGAGAGGAUGAUCAGCCACACUGGAACUGAGACACGGUCCAGACUCCUACGGGAGGCAGCAGUAGGGAAUAUUGGACAAUGGGCGCAAGCCUGAUCCAGCCAUGCCGCGUGAGUGAAGAAGGCCCUCGGGUUGUAAAGCUCUUUUGUCCGGAAAGAAAAGCGCCGGGUUAAUACCCUGGUGUCCUGACGGUACCGGAAGAAUAAGCACCGGCUAACUUCGUG